UGGCUCAGAUUGAACGCUGGCGGCAUGCCUUACACAUGCAAGUCGAACGGCAGCGCGGGGCAACCUGGCGGCGAGUGGCGAACGGGUGAGUAAUAUAUCGGAACGUACCCUGGAGUGGGGGAUAACGUAGCGAAAGUUACGCUAAUACCGCAUACGAUCUAAGGAUGAAAGUGGGGGAUCGCAAGACCUCAUGCUCCUGGAGCGGCCGAUAUCUGAUUAGCUAGUUGGUGGGGUAAAGGCCUACCAAGGCAUCGAUCAGUAGCUGGUCUGAGAGGACGACCAGCCACACUGGAACUGAGACACGGUCCAGACUCCUACGGGAGGCAGCAGUGGGGAAUUUUGGACAAUGGGCGAAAGCCUGAUCCAGCAAUGCCGCGUGAGUGAAGAAGGCCUUCGGGUUGUAAAGCUCUUUUGUCAGGGAAGAAACGGUGAGGGCUAAUAUCUCUUGCUAAUGACGGUACCGA
rnacentral:rRNA from 1 species